UACGUAGGGUCCGAGCGUUGUCCGGAAUUACUGGGCGUAAAGAGCUCGUAGGUGGUUUGUCGCGUUGUUCGUGAAAACUCACAGCUCAACUGUGGGCGUGCGGGCGAUACGGGCAGACUAGAGUACUGCAGGGGAGACUGGAAUUCCUGGUGGAGCGGUGAAAUGCGCAGAGAUCAGGAGGAACACCCGUAGCGAAGGCGGCACUCUGGGCCGAUACUGACACUGAGGAGCGAAGGCGUGGGGAGCGAACAGG
rnacentral:rRNA from 1 species